rnacentral:rRNA from 1 species
CAAGCAGCGGAGCGUGUGGUUUAAUUCGAUGCUACACGAAGAACCUUACCAGGGUUUGACAUACAAGUAGUAGGGAAAGGAAACUGGACGACCUUCGGGGAGCUUGCACAGGUGCUGCAUGGCUGUCGUCAGCUCGUGUCGUGAGAUGUUCGGUUAAGUCCGCUAACGAGCGCAACCCUCACUGUGUGUUAUAUGUGUCACACGGGACUGCCGGUUUUAAGCCGGAGGAAGGUGGGAUGACGUCAAGUCAGCAUGGCCUUUAUAUCCUGGGCUACACACACGCUACAAUGGUCGGUACAAUAGGUUGCCAAGCCGCGAGGCGGAGCCAAUCCGAAAAAGCCGGUCUCAGUUCGGAUUGCAGGCUGCAAUUCGCCUGCAUGAAGUCGGGAUCGCUAGUAAUCGCAGGUCAGCAUACUGCGGUGAAUACGUUCCCGGGCCUU